rnacentral:lncRNA from 1 species
UGGAUAGAUAGUAGGAGAGAGGCCUGGAACAGAUCCUUCCCUAGCAUCUUCAGAGGGAGCAUGGACCUACCUACACCUUGAUCUCAUAAUCCAGUCUCCAAAAUGGAAGGACACUUCUAUAAAAGACGGAGUUGGUUGUACUUCCCAUGAAACCAUUAUUGAAGACACACAUUUGCAUAACAGCAAUGAGAGAAAAGUUGCCGUGGCCAAAAUCAUCUGAAGAAAUUAGAAGCAUGAGACUAGGACAAAGAAGGAAGAGCAGGACUGGGAAGCAAAGAGUUCAGUGGGCAAUCUAGGUUUGGCUUACUCUGGAGCAUUUAAUUAUGCCCCAUGAUCCAGGAAAAAGGGUUGCUCAUGUAAGGAGUCCAACAUACACUACAUGGCACUUUCACUACAUUUUUCUAAUGAAAAUUGCCAAAUUCUUAUGUGUGCCUGAUCUGAUUCAGCCCAGGGUCAGAAAUCCAGGCUCCUUUGCCCAUCUAAUAAGAAAGAAUGAAAGUUGAAAGCCGCUCUCAGAAAUGGACAUGUAAGAAGACAUACACAGGUAUCAAUUCAUAUAUCCAUACAGGAAAGAAGGAAGGAAGGAAGGAAGGAAGGAAGGAAGGAAGGAAGGAAGGAAGGAAGGAAGGAAGGAGGAUACCCCAAGUAUAAAUGGAUUCAAGCUACUUGGAAUUUGGUAAGUGUGAUUCUCACUUGAGGGUGAGGUGGUCUAGACCUAUGUAUGCCACAGGGGAGAAGCAGUCAAACUUAAGUCUGAUAAAGAAUCAUCACAGGUCAUGUUAAAAGUAGAUUCCAGUAUUCUCCUCAAAGAUUCUGAUUCAUUUGGUCUGGAAAAGGAUCCUGUAACCUCUCCAGAUUAAUCUAAAAUAUAGGGUCGA